GGCGAACGGGUGAGUAACGCGUUGGUGACCUGCCCCGAAGUGGGGGAUAACAGUUCGAAAAGGACUGCUAAUACCGCAUACAAUCAGUUGGGUUAGAGACCUUCUGAUAAAAGGAGUAAUUCGCUUCGGGAGGGGCCUGCGUCCCAUCAGCUAGUUGGUAAGGUAAUGGCCUACCAAGGCGAUGACGGGUAGGGGACCUGAGAGGGUGGCCCCCCACAAUGGCACUGAAACACGGGCCAUACACCUACGGGUGGCAGCAGUAGGGAAUAUUGGACAAUGGGCGAAAGCCUGAUCCAGCAACGCCGCGUGUGCGAUGACGGCCUUCGGGUUGUAAAGCACUUUUAGAGGAGAUGAGAAAGGACAGUAUCCUCUGAAUAAGCCUCGGCGAACUACGUGCCAGCAGCCGCGGUAAAACGUAGGAGGCUAGCGUUAUCCGGAUUUAUUGGGCGUAAAGCGCGUGCAGGCGGUCUAUCAAGUUGGAUGUGAAAGCUCCUGGCUUAACUGGGAGAGGUCGUUCAAAACUGAUAGACUAGAGAAUGGUAGAGGGAGGUGGAAUUCCGGGUGUAGUGGUGAAAUGCGUAGAUAUCCGGAGGAACGCCAGUGGCGAAAGCGGCCUCCUGGGCCAUUUCUGACGCUAAGACGCGAAAGCUAGGGUAGCGAACGGGAUUAGAGACCCCGGUAGUCCUAGC
rnacentral:rRNA from 1 species